GGAGUUAGCCAGGUAAUCGCUGCGAGAGCAGAGGAAAGUCCGGGCUCCAUAGGGCAGAGUGCCAGGUAACGCCUGGGGAGCGUGAGCUCACGGCAAGUGCAACAGAAAGAAUACCGCCAAAGGCCUCGGUUUUUGGUAAGGGUGAAAUGGUGCGGUAAGAGCGCACCGCGGCAUUGGUAACAAUGACGGCAAGGUAAACCCCACUCGGAGCAAGACCAAAUAGGAACUCACAUGCUGCUGCCCGCAGUUGGGUUCGGGUAGGUCGCUAUAGGUGUUUGGUGACAGGCAUCACAGAUGAAUGAUUAUCCUCGACAGAACCCGGCUUAUUGCUAACUCCCAUC
rnacentral:RNase_P_RNA from 3 species